rnacentral:rRNA from 1 species
UGUCUAACGAUUGCCGUGCCGAAGCUAACCGCAUUAAGUACCCCCGCCUGGGGAGUACGGGCCGCAAGGCUAAAACUCAAAGGAAUUGACGGGUCCCCGCACAAGCGGCGGAGCAUGCGGCUUAAUUCGAUGCAACCCGAAGAACCUUACCUGGACUUGACAUCAUGGGAAAAGCCGUGGAAACAUGGUGUGCAUUAGCGUCCAUGACAGGUGGUGCAUGGCUGUCGUCAGCUCGUGUCGUGAGAUGUUGUGUUAAGUCCCGCAACGAGCGCAACCCUUGUCCUAUGUUGCCAGCGGUUCGGCCGGGGACUCCAUGGGAGACUGCCGGGGAUAACUCGGAGGAAGGUGAGGACGACGUCAAGUCAUCCAUGCCCCUUAUGUCCCAGGGCUGCACG